rnacentral:lncRNA from 1 species
GAUUUUACAUUAAUUUAGUGAUAAUAAAAAACAGUUGUAUAAACAUCAUACUUAAAAUCACAGAAAUUAAAUAUGGGAUGAAAUAAAAUAUUCAUUAAGAACAGAAUAAAGUUUAUACAACUCCAAGAAUAUAAAUCAAAAAUAUAAAACCCGUGUCCCUUUGUUAGGGCUGCAUCCGACCCUAGAGAGGAGAUCAGCCUUCCAUGAAGAGUUGAAUAGCUGCACUACAGGGGAACUUCAUGAUGAUUGGCUCCUUCCUCCUUCCCUCCGUCGGCUCUCUCUUAGCACAUCAUCACCUCUUCGUUUGGAAAGUCAUUCCUAAAGUACUCAAGAAACUCUUCUCCCUCCUUUGUUUCCCGUGGGAUUUUCAGCUUGUGA